AUGAUCGAUGAUGUAUGGACUAUAGCAGCGUGGGACGCAAUCUUUUCCAGCUUGCCAGAGAACAAGAACAGCAGUAGAAUCAUUGUAACUACUCGCAUAGAGACUGUCGCCAAAGCAUGCAGUGGUAGUGUUUGUCAGGAUUAUUACAUCUAUCCGAUCAAGCCUCUUAGUCAUGAAGAUUCGAAGAAGCUAUUCCUCUACAGAGCAUUUGGCUCUAAGGAUCCCUCUUGCCCCCCAGAAUUGGAAGAUGACAUGCUCCGCAUUUUAAGAAAAUGUGGUGGGCUGCCAUUAGCCAUUGUUAGUAUUGCUAGCCUUUUGGCGGGUUACAGAUCGCCCGAGUGCAAAGGUAUGUGGGGAAGAGUUUGCUCAUCACUUGGUUCUCAUAUAGAGAGUCACCCCACCCUUGAGGGGAUGAGGCAGAUACUGACACUGAGCUACAGCCACCUGCCGUAUGACCUUAAGUGUUGCAUGAUGUAUUUCAGUAUCUUCCCAGAGGAUAAUGUGAUUGAAAAGGGUAGGCUCUUGAACCGAUGGAUUGCCGAAGGAUUGGUCGCUGAGAAGCGCGGAUUGACCUUGUUGGAGGUUGCAGAAGGUUACUAUGAUGAGCUGAUGAGUAGGGGCAUGAUUGAUAGAGCCGAUGAUAAUGUUGGCCACAUUGAUGGAAGGGUAGAGACCUGCCGGGUGCACGAUAUGAUGCUUGAGGUCAUGGUGUCCAAAUCCUUGGAGGCUAACUUUGUUAGCUUGGUAGGUCGGCAGUACCAAGGGAUGUCAUACGACAGGAUUCGCCGCAUUUCCAUCCAUGGUGUAGAAGAGGGAUCCAAGGACUCUCUACCGAAGAAAAAGGCAGCAACGCGUGGCAUGAGAAAUGGAAUCAAGGGGGCAAAUGUGCAGCAUAUCCGAUCACUGAGCUCUUUUCAGCAAGAAGGGCACAUGCUGCUUGAUCGGCUGGGCGAGCUCAACCUGGUGAGAGUGCUUGACCUGGAAGAUUGCAAUGGCCUAGAAAACAAGCAUAUGAGGCAUAUCUGCCGGAUGCACCUUCUGAAGUAUCUGGGCUUGAAGGGC
rnacentral:rRNA from 1 species